GACAGAGGGUGCAAACGUUGUUCGGAAUUACUGGGCGUAAAGCGCGUGUAGGCGGUCGGGCAAGUCGGAUGUGAAAGCCCCGGGCUCAACCCGGGAAGUGCAUUCGAUACUGCUUGGCUAGAGUACUGGAGAGGAUGGUGGAACUCUCGGUGUAGAGGUGAAAUUCGUAGAUAUCGAGAAGAACACCGAUGGCGAAGGCAGCCAUCUGGACCGACACUGACGCUGAGGCGCGAAAGCGUGGGGAGCAAACAGG
rnacentral:rRNA from 1 species